GACGAACGCUGGCGGCGUGCCUAAUACAUGCAAGUAGAACGCUGAAGGAGGAGCUUGCUCUUCUGGAUGAGUUGCGAACGGGUGAGUAACGCGUAGGUAACCUGCCUGGUAGCGGGGGAUAACUAUUGGAAACGAUAGCUAAUACCGCAUAAUAGUAGAUGUUGCAUGGUAUUUACUUAAAAGGUGCAAUUGCACCACUACCAGAUGGACCUGCGUUGUAUUAGCUAGUUGGUGGGGUAACGGCUCACCAAGGCGACGAUACAUAGCCGACCUGAGAGGGUGAUCGGCCACACUGGGACUGAGACACGGCCCAGACUCCUACGGGAGGCAGCAGUAGGGAAUCUUCGGCAAUGGACGAAAGUCUGACCGAGCAACGCCGCGUGAGUGAAGAAGGUUUUCGGAUCGUAAAGCUCUGUUGUAAGAGAAGAACGAGUGUGAGAGUGGAAAGUUCACACUGUGACGGUAUCUUACCAGAAAGGGACGGCUAACUACGUG
rnacentral:rRNA from 1 species